AUUGAUUUUAUGCUUGCAUAAAUGAUUUUUGGAUUCGGAGCGAGUGGCGAACUGGUGAGUAACACGUGGGUAACCUGCCCCGAAGCGGGGGAUAACAUUUGGAAACAAGUGCUAAUACCGCAUAAUUAGUUGGAACCGCAUGGUUCCAACUUGAAAGAUGGCUCUGCUAUCACUUUGGGAUGGACCCGCGCCGUAUUAGUUAGUUGGUGAGAUAAAAGCCCACCAAGACGAUGAUACGUAGCCGACCUGAGAGGGUAAUCGGCCACAUUGGGACUGAGACACGGCCCAGACUCCUACGGGAGGCAGCAGUAGGGAAUCUUCCACAAUGGACGAAAGUCUGAUGGAGCAACGCCGCGUGAGUGAUGAAGGUUUUCGGAUCGUAAAACUCUGUUGUUAAAGAAGAACAAGUGUUAGAGUAACUGUUAACACUUUGACGGUAUUUAACCAGAAAGCCACGGCUAACUACGUGCCAGCAGCCGCGGUAAUACGUAGGUGGCAAGCGUUGUCCGGAUUUAUUGGGCGUAAAGCGAGCGCAGGCGGUUUUGUAAGUCUGCUGUGAAAGCCCUCAGCUCAACUGAGGAAGUGCAGUGGAAACUACAAAACUUGAGUACAGAAGAGGAAAGUGGAACUCCAUGCGUAGCGGUGAAAUGCGUAGAUAUAUGGAAGAACACCAGUGGCGAAGGCGGCUUUCUGGUCUGUUACUGACGCUGAGGCUCGAAAGCAUGGGUAGCGAACAGGAUUAGAUACCCUGGUAGUCCAUGCCGUAAACGAUGAAUACUAGGUGUUGGAGGGUUUCCGCCCUUCAGUGCCGCAGCUAACGCAUUAAGUAUUCCGCCUGGGGAGUACGACCGCAAGGUUGAAACUCAAAGGAAUUGACGGGGGCCCGCACAAGUGGUGGAGCAUGUGGUUUAAUUCGAUGCUACGCGAAGAACCUUACCAGCUCUUGACAUCUUCUGCCAACCCAAGAGAUUGGGCGUUCCCUCCGGGGACAGAAUGACAGGUGGUGCAUGGUUGUCGUCAGCUCGUGUCGUGAGAUGUUGGGUUAAGUCCCGCAACGAGCGCAACCCUUAUUAUUAGUUGCCAGCAUUUAGUUGGGCACUCUAGUGAGACUGCCGGUGAUAAA
rnacentral:rRNA from 1 species